AAAUGAAGAAAUUAAUUUGUGUCAGAAAUAAUAUGGACACAACUCUGCAAAUCCUUGCUGACUGGUUCAGUGACAUCUGAAAGCUUUGCAUUCAAAACCAGGGAUUUCACAUAAAAAGAAGAUGGAACACUUGAAGUAGAGGUUGUCAUGGAUGAUAAAGUUAAAUCCCUUCUCCUGAAUUUGUUCUGCUGUAACAGACUGAUGCCUGAGCAGGUGCUGAGGAAUGAUUGCUUCCUCGCAGUUGAUGUGAUUCCAGUUUCACUGCACCCAGGUGAAAAAGAUGAGCCGCAUAAAAAA